rnacentral:lncRNA from 10 species
UGAGGCAGAGAAUUGCUUGAACCCGGGAGGCAGAAGUUUCAGUGAGCCGAGAUCAUGCUACUGCACUCUAACCUGGGUGACAGAGUGAGACUCUGUCUCAAAAAAAAAAAAAAGCCCCAAGGUUGGACUCCCAGUGUCUCAGGACCAGUGUGAGAAGUGCAGCAGUUGCCCAGCACUGAGUGUGGCUGUUUCUUCAAGGGGGUUGCCUCCAAGUUCUUCCUAUCCCAAUGCCUAGGCUGGGUGCUGGCUGUGCUACUUGCCUGGGGUUCCCGCCUGGCCCCAUAGGCAGCUGAGCCAGCAACACCACAUACUGCAGAAGUCCUACAGGUUGCGGGCUGGGGGGCGGGUAGGAAGAGUAGGAAGCGCUCUGAGUGUGGUGCUGAAUGUCUCCUCUGAGUCUAGCAGAGGCAUUUGGCUGUAAUUCUUAGAACUCAGUACAGGGACAGAAGUUGAAGGUUUGGGACCCAGGACACUUCUGGUGUCUCCCUCCAGACAGUGGGUUUUGGGUGAGCCAUGCAGACAGGAAUGGGCAGCAUCCCAAGCAAACGUCAGCUCAGCACCAAAGGGCAUGGGCCAGACCCCAGAGCAUGCCUGGAGCCACUCCCUGCCCCCUGAGCGGCCUUGUUUCCCUGUGCGUCUAGGCAGCUGGGUGGGACAUGAGACUCUCCCAGCCUCUGCUGGUGCAGGUAGGAGGCUUAGGGAGGGUGUCCACUAAGUGAGCCAGCAAUGGUACCUUCUGGAGUGACCAACAGGCAGGGGGGUCAUCUGUGCCUGCUUCCCUCUCCACUGGGGAUAGCACCCUGACUUCUUCUGUGGAAUCACCCCUUCUCUCCACUCAGCCUGCUGGAUCGUGAGGGGCUGCCAAUCAACACAGUCUAGCUCCAGGCUGGACAGGGGACCUCAAUCAGCCUGACGAGAACUAGCAGGUGUCAUCUCAGAGGAGUCUUGCUGGACUCAUCAGAAAAGAGAGGGUCUCUUUCCCGCAGAGUUACUAAGUCUUCUGCUAAACACCUCCCUUGGGCUGAACCCCACUCGAAGUGACAAGAAAAAAGAGCCCUUUCCAUGUGACCCAUAACCAGCCUCCUGGAAUACAGAACAGGAUGGAGAAAAGUGGAGGGUGGGUCAGGAAAGGUAGAUGGAAGAUCUCCAAAACAGCUCACCCCUUCUCUCCUCAGCACCCAGUUCAUUCAGGUAAAACUUUAUGUCACCAAAGAGGGGUACAGUAAUUCCUGAUAGCAACAGCAGGGUUGGCGACUUUUUCCAGAAAGUAUCGGAUAGUAAAUACUGAAGUUUUGUGAGCCAUAUCAUCUUUGUUGCAACUCAGCUUGGCUGUGGCCGUGGACAAUCCAUACGCGAAUGAGUGUGGCUGUGUCCCAAUAAAACUUUGUUUACAAAAGCAGAUGGCAGAGCAAAUCGGGUUCAUAGUUUGCUAAACCCUGAGCCGUAGUGUCAUUGUGGGGUGGGGUUGGCUCCUUGGUUUGGUCCUACUGGAAACCGAAAAUGUUAGCCACCACCCAUGUUUUUCACAUGUGAUAGCAUGUUUUUAACACGGCAUAGGAGAGAAACAACAGGUCAGAACAUGGCUGCCCAAGCCUUUGCUUUGCUGGGAGACCUGGGGUGAAAAUCUCACUACAAAUACCCAGACUCAGGGGCAGUGGCAAACAGCUUGAUUGCCUGGGCAGGAUCCGGAAAGAAUGAGAUUGGAAAUUUGGGGGCCAGGUGGUCUGGAGGCAAGUCGUGUGGCUGGGGCACUUGUAAUGGGCACAGCAUGAUGAUAUUGGCAGCUUCCGUGAAUACCCACUCAAGGGCAUCCACAGUGGAGGAAGUGUCCCAAAUGCCUACGUCCCUAGGUCUCCAGACUCAGUGUGCCAGGACAUUCCAACAUUUCAGCCAUGUUCCUUCAAAGCUUCCAUCAGCCAACCCGCAGACCGAUAGCAUCUCUCCCUCCUCUCCAGCCGGCACAUCACAUCCAGCGGGACCAUAGGGUGUGUCCAUGUCAAUGACUGUGGGCUGACUGAAUCUCACAUUUCAUCCCCUUGGCCAAAUGCGUUGGAAUCCAUCCUCUCUCCUCCA